rnacentral:rRNA from 1 species
AUUGAACGCUGGCGGCAGGCUUAACACAUGCAAGUCGAACGAGUGGCGGACGGGUGAGUAAUGUCUGAGCAACUGCCUGAUGGAGGGGGGUAACUACUGGGAACGGUAGCUAAUACCGCAUACCAUCAGAUUUGCCCAGAUCGGCUUAGCUAGUGGGUGGGGUAACGGCUCACCAGGGCGACGACCCCUAGCUGGUCUGAGAGGAUGACCAGCCACACUGGAACGGAGACACGGGCAAGACUCAUCCGGGAGGCAGCAGUGGGGAAUAUUGCACAAUGGGCGAAAGACUGAGGCAGCCAUGCCGCGUGUAUGAAGAAGGCCUUCGGGUUGUAAAGUACUUUCAGCGGGGAGGCGGGAAGAGAAGAAGAAGCACCGGCUAACUCCGUGCCAGCCGCCGCGGUAAUUG